AAUGUAAUGACUAACGUAAUGUUCACAUUUUACAAAAAGCGUUCUCUUUUCUUUCUGACAGGAGCAUUUCUACGAUCUGGAAAAAGGGAACAGAGGUCAUCUCCUGGCGCCUUAAAACUUUGUCGAGGAAGAACCCAAAACAUAUUAGCUUGGAAAUGACUGAAAGUGGAGGACCAAGUCGCCGAAGAAGGAUUGAAGAUGUCCAACAACUUGAAGGCAAUUUCUUUCCUUGUCCAUACAGCUGAUGAAGCUGAAGUUAUGCAAAAGAUAAUGGAAACUUUCAAGCAUAGACAAGAACUGGUACAUAAUCUUUAAAGGUCAGCUGACGUCCUUGAUGUCUUUCCAAGAUAUUUGGAUGUAAAAGAAUUGAUAAAUCAGGACUUUGCUCUGCUAUUCAAUGCUGAAACAUCCAACAAGCUUCUUGAGAGGUGGGAGACGGCAGUCAAGCAAAAGAUCAUCAAUGAAGCCCAGUCUCUUACUUCAACAGCAGAAAUUUGGUGUCUUCUCAAUGCAGCAGGUGGACAAGGAUCUGAAAAUGAUUGGGACAGUGACAUGUCAUCUGACCUGCUGCUGUUGCAUCUCCUGCCUCCUGCUCCAGGGAGGAAGAAGACUAAGAUCAGUCCAACAGAGGCUGUUGACAGACUUGUGCAUUUCCAUAAAGUAAAACUAACAAUACAGUUGCAAAGUCAUUGUGAAUAUUGAAAUGCAGUGGUUUUUUAAUCAUGGUCCUUGGGAUUCACCCCUUUGCACAUUUUAUUUCUCUGACCUGACUUAAGGGAUAGUUCACCCAAAAAUGAAAAUUAUGUCAUUUACUCACC